AUGUAACAACAUUAACAAAGAUUAUGGGGAACCUUCAACUUCAAGUAACAAAGAAGGUAUUCAACCAAAGAGGAGGGACUUGGUCAUUAAAUCGAAACUGUGGAAAGACCAACGAGAUUAUGAUGAUGAGGAGAGCUGGGCUGACGGACUCGCUGGUGUUUCAUCAAAAGAAGAAGACCAAGAUUCUGAUCAGGAUAGUACUGCAGAGGACAGUGAUGAUCCAGUCAAGGAAAAAAAUUCAAGGGAAAACUGCAUCUAAGAACUGUCGAGAAAUUUUGCAACAAACAGCAACUCCAAACAGUAGCUUAAACCAUAAUUCUCCAGUUUUUGUUCCAAGAAACAAUGCAAAAACAGUUAUUUCAAAUGUAGCGACAUCAAAGUUCGACCAGAAUGAAAUAGCAGAUAAUCUUCAGCUAAGCUCAGCCGAAGCAUCAGUUGGUGAUCAAAUCGCAACUGCGCUGCCAUCAACUAGCCAGAAUCAGGUUACAACAAUAUAACCAUUCUCUAAUUUAGAGGACAGGAAAUUUUCGGGUGCCAUGACGCAAACUCUGCUUUCAAAUCAGAAGCAGCAAAGGAAUGCAAAUACUUCAUCUAACUUUCCUUCUGCUAAUAGCAAUACAGUAGCAUGUUCACAGGCGGGGCAGCUCGUCACAACUGCUCCAGUAAUCUCGUCCGAGGAAAGACAACUCUUGGACGCGAUGGUAAAUACAGAUACUAAUCCUAUUACUGGUACUUGUGUCAUGAGCAGGAACAAAUCGCAAAAACAACAAAAAAAUUCAGUUAUGGCUAAUGCACAAUUAACAAAGCAACGCGAUUUUCAAAAAAUGCCAAAUUCUAUUUUGGCAGGCAACAAAAAACGCAGUUACGGCUAAUGCACAAUUAACAACGCAAGGCUAUUUUCAAAAAUUACCAAAUCCUAUUUUGGCAGGAAGACAUAUAUAUGAAGAAAGGGAAGAAGAGGAUAUCUUAAAGCAAUGCCGAGCAGACGCUUCAACAAAAGGUGAUUUGUCACCAUUGCAUAGUGCAAGAAAUAAGAAGUCUCGUCAAAGGGAAAGAAGUUGGGAUGACAGGGUGUUUGAAGACGUAAACAUAAGGAGGUCCCCAAUGAGAAAUGCAAAACAAAAACAGGUCGCUCAAACAAUUCUUUCAAAAUCCGAUCGCCUGAAGAAUAAAGAAUGAAAUUUGAAGACUUUUUGAAAAAUUAUGUGGAAUAAGACAACAUUCUACAAAUCGAAGUUUUCACAACAAAAGAGAAAAGAGGGUACCUUUAUGGCUUCUUCAUCUUUUUAUUUUACCAUCACAUUAGUAUUAUUCUAUGUAAUAUCAUCACAGAGCAUGAUAUAAACUAUGUGAUGAUCAUUCACUUUUUAAUUCUGGCGAGUUCUUUCUUUUUACAUGCUUGCCAGUCCAGGAGUCUUUUAUUUGCCUCAAUAGGAUUGCUAAGGUAAGGUCUACGCUGGCUGUAUUAUAUGGGUAACAUUACCGGUGUUAUCCGCCUUAUUUUAUUUCUCCUAUUUGUUGUAAUUUUCUUUUUCCUAUUAUUUAUGAAAUCUAAAAAAACUCCUAAAAAUGCAAAUAAAAACAAAUCACAUAAUUAACUCCUAAGAAUGAAAAUAAUGAAAGAAAUUCCUAGUCUAUGAAUUUAUAGGAACGAUUCAAGUGAGGCAAAAAUCACAUGCUCACAACUGCCCCUCUUUGUUCGGAGACACACAAGGUUUCCGGGCAAAGAUAAGUGAGCGAUUGAGAUAUUUUUGCUUGUUUCGCAUUCCAUCUGAAACGUUUUGAAAACUGUUUGACCGAACCCUACUUUAAAGGUUUCCUACAUAUCCUCGGCUAAAGAGGAAUCAGGUCAGUGUAGUUCUGGAGUGUUUGAUAGCUGGGACUACCAGAAGUUGGGGUUGCACUGUUGAUGCUAAUGUUACUGCCUGCGGACCUCCUUAUUACACCUUAUGCAAAACAAAAAGAAAACUAGACCAAACUAUAAGCUACAGAUUACAAAGAAAAGCCUAUCUACGUCUUCAAUCUUGAUCCCUGUUGCUUUGUUGCCUUGUAUUACUUUCUGCGAACUCCUCGUAGCCUCACUGACUGCUUGCCUUUUCUUCCUUCAUGCCUGAUGCCGAAUUGGUCGGCUUGACGUGUGUUUCGUUGAAAGCAUUCCCUCGUUCUACAGGUGGGUUCCUGACUACUUGAACUUGCAAUUUGAAAGAUAUUCCCUUUUUCUACAGGUGGGCGCCACCAAGACUUUACUUCUGAAGAAUAUUCCCUUAUUCUCCAAGUGGGUGACUGAUUGCCAAAGCCAUAUAUUUGAAAAUAUUCGCUUGUUCUACAUGUGGGCGCCUGAUUUUGAAAUUUAAAAUUUUUAAAAAUAUUCCCUUGUUCAACAGGGGGGCGCCAGAUUACCAAAGCUUGAAACUUGGAAAAUAUUCCUUUGUUCAAACAGGUGGGUGCCUGAUUACCGAAAUUUAAAAUUUGAGAAAUAUUCCCUUAGUUCUACAGGUAGACGCCUGAUUGCCAAAACUUGAAAUUUUGAAAAUUAUUCGCUUGUUCUACAGGUGGACGCCUGAUUACAAAAACUUAAAUUUUUUAAAAAUAUUCCUUAUUCUACAGGUGGGCGCCUGAUUGCAAAAAUUUAAAAUUUUGAAAAAUAUUCUUUUGUUCUACAGGUGGGCGCCUGAUUGCAAAAACAUAAAAUUUGAAAAAUAUUCCCUUAUUCUACAGGUGGGCGCCUGAUUGCAGAAACUUAAAAUUUUGAAAAAUAUUCCCUUGUUCUGCAGGUGGGCGCCUGAUUGCUAAUACUUAAAAAUUUGAAAAAUAUUUUCUUAUUCUACAGGUGGGCGCCUGAUUACAAAAACUUAAAAUUUUGAAAAAUAUUCCCUUGUUCUCUAGGAGGGCGCCUGAUUGUUAAAACUUAAAAAUUUGAAAAUAUUCUCUUGUUCUACAGGUGAGCGACUGAUUACCGAAAUUUAAAAUUUUUAAAAAUAUUCUCUUGUUCUACAGGUGGGCGCUUGAUUACAACAAAACCAAACAAAUAAAACACAAGAAAUUCUUCCUUCCCUAGUUUGGUGCUGGGCAGAUCCGUGAGUGUUAAUCAAAUAUCCUUAUCAAAUAUCUCUAAAGCUAAGUCCCAUUAUCCAUGAGGGUCCUGACAAUUCUUAAUUGUUGAAAACUUUAAGACUAUGUUAUGUUUCUGAAAAAAGUAUUAGUUUCCACUAUGCCUUGUGAUGAGUUGUAUCUGUUGGGGAUCUGCUGGUUAUUGGCGAUUAAAACUACUUCCCAUUAUCCAGGCGGGUGUCACACCUCCAUUUUUCCGACUAUACACCGCCACAAAGGAGCGUAAAGGAGUUUUUUCCACUUAAAGGCAAUCGGAACGGGAUUGGGUUAUUCAUUAUUUCAGAGUCGCCACUUGGGAGAUUAAUGGUGUCCCAAGUCACCGUUUUGAAUCCAGAACCAAGGAAAAAGAUUGACUAUUUAUCACAGUGUGCGAACCAGAAAUCUGAGUAAGGAAUUCUGUUAACACGGGAGAAGAUGUUAGGCAUUCCCGGGUUCCGUGGUUCUAGCAGGGUCUCUUAACCGUUGUAUUUGAUUUUAUCUGAUUUCAAUACAUGCUAGCUUAUGUGCAUUUUAUUUAUGAAACCACUUUUACCAAUAUUUAUCUUGAAAUACUUGCGACGUCAUGAAAACGUAUUUCUAAUCACGUCACCACCAGUGUACAUGUGAUCGUCGACACGUUUCGACUUUGUCGAGAUUUGGAUUUGGGUCGAAUCAAUGCACAUCCGAGUAUAAGAAAGUAAUUUAAUUAAAAUGCGCCUAAAGAUUCUAUUGCAAUAUUAUUUUGGGAAAGGCCGUGAAAUUCGGUAAACGGCCCUCCCGAAUUCUAAAUAUUUUUAACCCUCAUCGAGGGCCUCGCAAUUGUUUUUGUUUAGCGAGGCUCGUCUCGUUAUUUGAAAUUCGAUCCUAAAGCGACUAUGAUUUUCUCUAAUUAUUUGUCUCUAAAAAGUAAGCAAAAGUCUUCACCAAUUUAUACCGAAACCAAACUGGCUCAUUGCAAAUCUCAGCCCAGGCCCAUACGUACAUACUCAUAUAAAAGGGGACUGGGCUGCUCAUUAAUGGACUAAGAACUAAACUUCUAAAAUAAAGUUGUUAAACCCAAAUCCUUAAACUAAGCGCAACAAAUUAAUUGGAACAAUUUCCCCAAGACUUGUUUCAUGUUAUUUCACAAGAAAUUAUGAGCUUAUUUCAAUUGGUUCACCCUAAUCAGAUUGAACUUUAGUAAAUCAGAUUGAAUUGCAAACAGUAGCAACUAUCCAGGCAGCAUGCUUUAGGAGAAACAAUCCUGGUUCAUGUGACCUUUUGAACUUCAUGAAUUAACUAAAAAAACAAGAAAAAUACUAAUUCAAUGUAACCUAUCAAUAUAGACUCAAGCGAUUCUACUCAUGCCAUCGUGUGCCUGUUAUCUAUGUAAGUAGAGCUCAUACUACACUUCAUGUAUUAUGUAUCACAAUGUGUACAAUCCGUGAGUAUAACAAUUAGUCCAAUAUGACUUAACAAUCCAAUGGUGAAUACAAGUCAGAAUUGAACUAAACAAGCAUAUAUAACAUCUACUUAACUGUUAGCACAUUAUAUCCAAACUCGUGUGAUUUCUAGAAGUAAAUGAGUGAGUACGUUAUAGCAUUUCUCCUUUGACUACAUCAAGUCAGAAUUGAGAUCGAGUACCUGAAUGUUUGAAUGGAAAAAGGAAAAUGAAGUAGUCAGCAACAGCAGCAAUGAGCAACCAAACACAGGAAUCAUAGCCCAGAAAUGGAAUCCUAGUCCAGAACAAGUUGAAAUUCAACAGCAGUAGCAAAUAACCAAACUAAUAGACUCAAUGGAACUUAAAUAUAGUCAAACAGGAGAUGUAUGCUACAAAACUACUCCAUUACACAUCCAGGUGACCCAAACUACUCAGAAAGUUCAAAAUCAAGCCCAAAUCAAACUCAGCAAAUGCAAAACCCAACUGAGAUAUACCAGACUACUUCAACUCAGCUAAAACUAGAAGAUAUGAAGGUGUUAGUUGAAAAUUAAACACGAGUCUUUCGUGGCUUAAUGAACUAGUAAGCCAUUUUGGCUUCUUUUUUUUUUUGAAUUUUGCAUGUUUUUUAUUUUUCCUUUUGAAGAAGUGAAAAUCUAAAAGAAUUUCAGAUCUGAAGUUUCAAUUCCAGAUCUAGAAGCUUUGGGGAAUAUUUUGGGGAAUUUAUAUGUUGCCAAAACAUGGAAUUAAACUGAAAUUUUCAAUUAAACAGUGCUAUUUUUGUGUUUUUUAUGUUUUCUGACUUUUUUUGGGUUUUUCUUUUGAAGAUUUGAAGUUUGGAUAUCAAGUUUCAUAUCUGAAUUUGGAGAGAAAGGCCAGGAAAUUUUUA
rnacentral:lncRNA from 1 species